AUUGAACGCUGGCGGCAGGCUUAACACAUGCAAGUCGAACGAGUGGCGGACGGGUGAGUAAUGUCUGGGCAACUGCCUGUUCGAGGGGGAUCACUACUGGAAACGGUAUCCAAUACCGCCUACCCUCCGAUGAACCCAUGUGUGAUUAGCUAGUUGGUGGGGGAACGGCUCACCAAGGCGACGAUCCCUAGCUGGUCUGAGAGGAUGACCAGCCACACUGGAACUGAGACACGGUCCAGACUCCUACGGGAGGCAGCAGUGGGGAAUAUUGCACAAUGGGCGCAAGCCUGAUACAGCCAUGCCGCGUGUAUGAAGAAGGUCUUCGGGUUGUAAAGUACUUUCAGCGGGGAGGCGUUACCCGCAGAAGAAGCACCGGCUAACUACGUGCCAGCCGCCGCGGUAAUUC
rnacentral:rRNA from 1 species